rnacentral:lncRNA from 1 species
ACCGUGGAAAUAGGUUCCUUUGAAUGGAAUCCUAUAACCCUUCGCAUUCUCGUGAUGCGGAAUCAUGCGCACAUAUAAUAAACGUGGGCGAACAACCAUGACGAUAGGCUCAUUGGAAUCGAACCAUACCAUCCUUCGCAUGCAUUAACAUACGGAACCUACGCACGUAUAAUAGACGUGGGCGAAACAAUUGUGAUGAUAGGCUCGUUGGAAUCGAAUUCCUAUCACCCUUCGCAUACUCGCGAUGCGGUUCUCGGCACAUGUAUGAUAAACAUGGCAACAAGUGCUGGAAGUUAGAAGAUAACCAAUAACUAUUAGCCACCUUAAAAGACCAAAAAUUCCCCUAGGGCUCCUCAUACUAAACUCAUCCUUAAUGAACUUACGAAUUUCUCAACUCAUUCUUGCAAAUUUUAGUUCGAAAAGUGUUUUAAGGUUUGUUGUUCUCCGUA